AGUGUGAAACUGACUUCUCCUGGGGAUGGUAGGGCUUCCUCUGUGGUCCAGUAAUGGUGACGUCCCUAACUGGCAGCCUGGGCCCCAGCGUCAGGAGUUGGGCUCAUGGUGACACAAAGAAAAUGCAUUUUAGAAGAAAAUGAGUCUCUGAUCUCAGGAUUUGUCUGAUCUCUCACGAUUGGGAUGGCCCAUUCCUAGAGGGGGAGAAGACCUGGAAAACACUGCUAGACCAACUCAAAAUUACAAAGUUUUCCAGAGCUUAUAUGUCUUCUAAGCCAUAUGUCUAUGUCUGCAGGAAUGUAGACAAUUCAGAGGCUUUGUUCCCCAUAAUUUGGAACUUUUCUUCAGAUUUGACCAAGUCGGGUAGAGAUGAUCAAACCUAAUGGGAAAAAGACUGAAACAACAAAAACAGAAACAGGCAAACACAACCAGAGAGAGUAUAAGGAAUCCGAAGGUUGCCCUGCACACGGCUCAGGGUCGGGCUGCACUGGCAGUCUGUGGUGGACAGACGUGGUCUUCCUGUGUCUGCUGAGGGUUCCCUGACUGAGCUGGGCUGGCUUCUAACUCCACCCCUCUGAGGCCGUUCCGAGAGCUGACUGGCUGCCUCUGGGGUGGCCUGGAGAACGCUCCCAGAGUCCUUUUCUUGGUUCUUCCAAACAAAGGCAUGGCACCUUCUCCCUCAGGACCUUCUGCUUGAUCACUCCAGGGUCUCCCCUCAGAGGCUUGUUGCUGCUUCUCCUGGUCCCCUGGGCCCGGAUCCCCAGGCUGGAUGUUACCUUCUGCACACAAGCAUGUGAAGAUCCAGGGGGGAUGAUUACACAGCACAUGCUGCAUGGGGAAUUUCUGACUGGAGAAACCCGGAGGGCAGAAAGGAUCGAGGUAGAGCUCUGGCUCUGGAUCUGCUGCAGAGAGAAAAGUUAGCUCUGGUGGCCUUUACCUCAGGCUUUGAUGACAGACAGAGGAACCAACAAUCUAACCUGAUGCCUGCCUCUCCCCACGCCAGUGCUGAGGAGCUCCUGCAGAGAAAGCCUGCUCUUCCAGCCCUUGUAUUCAGGACAGGUGCCGGGUGGUCCCUCAAGACCCUUUUUCAGCAGUAAAUCCUACCUGCUUUCACUGAGUUCUCACUAAGUUUAUUUGGUUUAAUCUAGGUUGUCUGAGGUUCCACAACUCAUAACUGAUUUUGUGUUCUAUUUCUGGCCAGCAACUUCCUUGACAUUAUGGAAACUUGAGUUGGGUGGAGUUGUCAGAUUUGAUUUAUUGGCUAUUUUGUUUCUCUUGAAUACGACAGGAGAAGGGAAGCAACAGCUCAUAUCUCCUUGGCUUACCUUCAUACAUAUUAGGGCAUAGUCAUGGGUAAGUAGGUCUUUCAGCAGUAAAAGGAACUCCUGUGUCUGUCCUGAGUUAAGCACAGUGACUAUAAUUUUGACACAGGUAAUACCUCCCACCCACCCUUAUAAGAACCAAGGCUUCUGAUAUGUAGGCUUAUUACAGCCCUAGCUGCUGUGCCUAUGUGUAAAGUGGCAGGCUUUUAUUUACACUAAAUGUAUUUCAGAAUUAUAGAAGCGCCUUCAGAGAAAUCUUAAUUCAACAUGGUUUUAACAUUUGUAUGGAGUGACAGAAGAAAAACAAAACUUUAAUUCUCCAUUAGUCAGUUUUUUCAGUUGGUCACCAAAUUUGGCAUUCUGUGUAUACACUAGGAAUAUUUAGUCUUAGAAGAAAUUUUAACACAAAAUAUUACCAGGUUAAUGAAUUUAUUUAUAAAAUAUUUUAAAUCUAAGGUGCUCCUGCACUGAUAGGUUUAUAGAGACUAAUGGGCACUGACACAAAUUUAAAAUUUAAAAACUCGAGAAUAACUAAAUUAAAAAAAAAAAAUCAGGCCAGGUGUAGCGGCUCACGCCUGUACCAGCACUUUGGGAGGCUGAGUCGAGUGGAUCACUUGAGGUCAGGAAUUUGAGACCAGCCUGGCCAACAUGGUGAAACCCUGUCUCUUCUAAAAAUAUAAAAAUUAGCUGGUUGUGGUGGUGUGCACCUAUAAUUUCAGCUACCCAGGACGCUGAGGCAGGUGCUUGAACCUGCGUGGCGGAGGUUGCAGUGAGCCGAGAUUGCGCCACUGCAUUCCUGCCUGGGCAACAGAGCAAGAUUCUGUCUCAAAAAAAUAAAAAAUAAAUAAAAUUGAAAAUUGAACUCCUAAUGAUUCAAAUAUGCCAGUUUCUGAAGGAAAUCUUUCUUGCUGCAGCUGAAGCUCUGGCUCUGAAGAAAAAAGUUUAGCUGUGAAUUAAGCCAGGCACCUUGCUUAUUAGGUUGCACGAUAAGAAAGAAAUGUGAGGCACUCAGAGCUUAUUUACUACAAUAUGUAAACAACCUUACUAGCUGGUAUGUAACUAAAGGGUGGAAUCAAUAUUUCAAAGUAAGAUAAAGCCUGCAAAUAAGACAAAUGCAAUGUCUUUUCCCUUAUUUUAUCAGUGUAAACAUAACAUUAGCAUAAUAUUCUAGUGAUAUAAAACUUGGUUCUGAUAUGUAGGCUUUCUCAAAGAAAGUUUAACUAAUCUAAACUUCCAAGACUAAUAUAUAGGUUCAGCAUCCCUAAUCUGCAAAGUUCCAAAAUCUGAAAAUCUUUAAGCACCAACAUGCAGCCACAAGUAGAAAAUUCCACAGCUGAUCUCAUGUGACAGGUCAUAGUCAAAACACAGGCACAUAAAAUUCAGUUUAUUCAGCAUCCUCAAAGGAAAAAUAUAAUUACCUUCAGGCCAAGUGUACAAGGUGUACACAAAACAUAAAUGAAAUUCCUGUUUAGACUAGGGUCCUAUACCCAAGAUAUCUCAUUAUGUUUAUGGUAAUAUUCCAAAAUGCAAACCAACCAACCAACCAACCAAACAAACCCAAAAUCUGAAACACUUAUGGUCCUAAGCAUUUUGGAUAAGGGAGAGUCAACCUAUACUGAUUUUAAAAAUCAGAUAGGCUAAUAUUGCCUUCAUAAAUAUGUAAGAUUAGGCACAUGUAGAUAUAUGUGUCCAACUAGUAUCUUAUAAUUUACAGACAGUGCCAGAAAUUACGUGAAUCUACAAUUACUUUACUCAAAGUAAAUACCAGAAAUGGCAUAUUUUUCAGGCAGUUUUUAACUUAAGACUGAUUAAGUUGUUUUUCAAUUUCUAAGAUCUCUGUUAGGAAAUCAUUAUAAGAAUAAAUAUUUUUGUUAAAAAAUUCAAAAACAAAACUAUACAAAGUGUUCUCAUGCAAUAAUUUUACUUGUAUUUUUGCCUAAACUAAUGAGAUCAGCCUUAUGUUAAUUAUUUGAGACUGAAACUUAAAACUUUAAAUACCGUCCAUCAACACUAUAUAUGCUUAAAAACAUGUACAAUUAUUUAGCUUGCCAAUAAACAGAAAAAAGCUUAAACUUGACAAUAAUACUGGUAACUAAAAAAGAAUUAUAACUUGGUGUAUUUCUGUCCUCCAUAUGAAAAAUAACUAAUUUUUGUCUUUUGUAUACUCAACUUAGAAAUAAAAGCUCUAUUUUUACCUCA